rnacentral:rRNA from 1 species
UACGGGGGGGGCAAGCGUUGUUCGGAAUUACUGGGCGUAAAGGGCUCGUAGGCGGCCAACUAAGUCGGAUGUGAAAUCCCCAGGCUUAACCUGGGAACUGCAUCCGAUACUGGAUGGCUUGAAUCCGGGAGAGGGAUGCAGAAUUCCAGGUGUAGCGGUGAAAUGCGUAGAUAUCUGGAGGAACACCGGUGGCGAAGGCAGGUCUCUGGGCCACUACUGACGCUGAGGAGCGAAAGCGUGGGGAGCAAACAGG